GUGGGUGGAAGCUCAUCAUAGAGGUCACAUGCAGGGUGCUUGUCACUCAACCAAUCACCUUGGGGAAGGUCUGAGACAAGAGCCAAUCACUGCCCUAGCAGGGUAUCACCUGACCUGGGUGAGUGAGUGCACAGAGAAUAUGGGCCAUUGUGAGUUGUCUUUACAGGAGAAACCAGCCAGAGCAGCUCUCCAGCAGU
rnacentral:lncRNA from 13 species